GGAUUAGAUACCCUGGUAGUCCACGCUGUAAACGAUGUCUACUAGUUGUUGGGGAACUUGAUUCCUUAGUAACGAAGCUAACGCGAUAAGUAGACCGCCUGGGGAGUACGGUCGCAAGAUUAAAACUCAAAUGAAUUGGCGGGGGCCCGCACAAGCGGUGGAGCAUGUGGUUUAAUUCGAAGCAACGCGAAGAACCUUACCUACUCUUGACAUCCUGCGAACUUGGUAGAGAUACCUUGGUGCCUUCGGGAACGCAGUGACAGGUGCUGCAUGGCUGUCGUCAGCUCGUGCCG
rnacentral:rRNA from 1 species